GAAGCGCGCCCUGGCAACCCCACGUGCUGCGGAUUAGUGCACUUCCGGCGUGGAGAGCACUUUCAGCAUUCUGGUUGCUUGAGUGAGCUCGCUGGCAGAGGAACUUGCGCCUUCCAACUCUUAGGUUUCCUCCAAGUAUGACUGUCUUCUACCUGGGACAUUGGUUUUCUCCUGCCUUUGGACUCAGACUGGCAUUUGUAUGAUCAGCUCUCCUGCUGUCCUACUUCUGAAGCCUUUGAAUACAGACUGGAAUUACACAUUUGGCUCUCCUGGGCCUCUAGGUUGCCAACUGUAGAUCUUGGGACUUACCUUAGCUACCAUAAUUGGGAGAGUGUGAACACAGUCCCCCACUGCUAUAAAUUCUGCAGUUGGAUUUCCCACGUUUGGGGAAAUGGCAGAGGUCAGCACGUCCGGCACGUAAUGGAUGAGCCUUGCUCUAGGAAAACCAC